ensembl:lncRNA
GUAAAUCAAGCCUCACUGAAGAGUAAGUGGAAACAAAAAAUUAGUAACUUACAAUAUUGUUAUUCUAUUCACAUUAAAUACAAAGUCAUUCGUAUUAAAAAUAUAUUAAUACACGGCUUGGUCAGUCGCGACAUUCCAAGGUAUGUUAUCUCUGGAUAACAGCCGGUAAAAGCUAAUAACACAGGCUCAUCCGGGUAACAGCAGUCGGCGCUGUACUCUAGCUUGAACUAUUUUUUUUCUUGGUGGAAGCUUUGCGUUUGUUUCGCUAAUAAAAUAUUGAAACUCAAUUCAAAAUGGUGUACAAUUGUUUAAUUAUGUCAUCCUGGUAUCACGGACUUGUUUCAUACAAACGCAGCUGCUGCCAUUUUGCUACGAUUGUUUUGUACGCUCUAAUGGAUUAUAAGAUAACUAACAAACUGGUUCCCAUUGUGUCCGAAUGCAUCGUUGUCCCGCCUUCCAAACUGAAAGUCCAAAAGAGUGAACUCCAAAAGCAGAUGACAUCAACCCCUCUCCUGAUCGACAGUGCAAGCAAGCUCGGACAUUCCUGGUCUUCUUCUCACCGAGCACCCUUCUCUGCUUCCAAGUCACCAAGCUUCCUGGGCCCUCUCCAUUUCACCCAGGAUCACUCUGAGCCCCCUGGAAUGUGGGAUUAAUGGUCCUGUGCAUCGUGCAGGCCGUUUGGGAUAUCCAAGACCUUUCCAACUCCAAAGCACGUUCUCUUAUCAAUAACACCCGAUCAUCAUGAUGUCAGUGGUCAGGGGCACAUUUGGAAGUAGAUUAUAGAAAUAGCUGAUUAAAAAUUCACCACCAAGCCAGAAGAAGUAGCCUUUCAUUUUGCAGAAGGACUAGAAGCAACACUAGCCCAAAAUGAUGAUGGACUGAUGGGAUUAGCAAGCUAAGCAAAACAGAAAUUGAUGCAUUUCAAUAUGAUAGCUCACAUUUUAACAGACCGUCA